AUUUAAAUAGCUUAUAGUUAGAGUAUGACAUUGAAGAUGUUAGGGUGAUUAAUUUAAUCUUUAAAUA
rnacentral:tRNA from 1 species